rnacentral:rRNA from 1 species
ACUAAAAUAAACGCUAUAGCCUGAGUAUUAAAAGAUAUGUUCUUAAAAUUUAAAGAAUUUGGCGGUAACUUAGUCUUGUCAGGGGAAUCUGUUUUUUAAUCGAUAGACCACGAAAGAUCUUACUUAGGCUUAGAGCUUGCAUACCGUCAUUAUCAGAUAAUUUUUAAAGGGUAAAUUAUUAUGUAGGGGGUUCCAGCUAAAUUAGAUCAAGGUGCAGCCGAUGCUUAAGUUAAAGUGGAUUACAAUAAAUUUUAUUUAUGACGGAAGGGGAGGGGAAGCCGACCCGGAAGGAGGAUUUGAUUGUAUUGCGAUUUUAACAAGGUUGGAAGAUAUAAGCUCUAAGUUAUGU